GCCGAUUUAAAAGAAAAGCCUUUGCAUCAUAUAAGCAAUAAAAAUAAGUGCUGGACUAUUUAUUAACUCUAUACUCGCUACCGACAUUUCCAUCUUCAUGAUUAACAUCUGAGUUGCAUUCAAAUUACCAAAUUCAAAAGACCCGCCUUCGGUGAAGACAACAUUUGUGGUGCUUAUAUACACAUAUAAAGAGAUUAUAUCAGAGGAUAGACAACUUCAUUUGGAGCCCUUUCAGUGUUUGUGAUUCUGAAUAAUAGAUCCACCACUGUGCUGAUUCUGUAGUGAACAAAUGUUGUAAUUAUAUGGUUUUGCAGAAUCAUAAAUAAGCAGUGAUAUCAAUGAGUUCCGGAUUAUUCUUUAAGAAGAAUGGAUUUCAGUGAUUUUGUUCUUACAAAAUUCAGUGA